rnacentral:lncRNA from 1 species
CGAGAGGAGAAGCGCGCCUGCCCCAAAACCACGGCAUGGAGACGGAAUGAUGCAGACUCCUAUCCGCGAGAUACCUGCUGUAAUUUCGCUGUGGUUCGUGAGGACGCGUCCUGGGCUGCCCUGAGAAGCCUACGUCUCCCCUUCGAGGCCCGGGAAGACCUCCAACCCCGCUGACAAUGCUGGGCCCUCAGCCAGACCUGCCCUGCGUGCCACGUUCUGUUCUAAGAUCGGGCUGCCGAGCUGUGGCCUGGAGGAAACCUGGCAGGUGUCACCAGAGCUUUGGGGAGGGUGAGGCCCUGUCGGGGAAGCCCAGUGGGAGUCAUGAAGGAGGGAACACGUGUGGAGCCCUUGUAGGGGGAGGGGCAGCCCUGCAGAGAUCUAAGAAAAAAUUCCAGAAAAAUGAGCAGCAACCUCCAAGGCCAGGCAUCGGUGCAGGGGACAAGGGGUCGUAGCUGGAGGGGCCUAGGUGAGGCUGCCGGGAAGGGACGAUGUGGUUGGUGGAGUGCACAGGCAGGGACCUCACUGGACUUUCCUGUCUGCUCAGCAUGGACAGGCAGCCCAGGAGAAGGCAGCACGUGGCCGGGUGCAGGGACGUACCACCCCCACUUCCCCAGGGGAGCUGGGGUCAGACGAGUCCCAGGCACUCCAUCCUCUGCAGCAAGUCAGGUUGUGAUUUACUAGGGGGUGGUGAAUAUAAUGGAGAGACUUCUGGGGAGGAAUUCCUGGCUCCCGCGUGGACUUGCAGAGCUCAACAGGCAGCCACGUGGCUGAGUGUCCAGCAAACAUCACAUAAGGCUUUGGGUCCUGCAGGUGGGGCUGCCAUGAGCAGCAAGCUCAGUCCAGAAGAACAGUUCCUCUCCAGGAUCCACUUCCUGCGCACUUUUAUGUGCAGUGUAGCUGGAGCAGAGCUCCCCGGAAUUCCACAGGCAACUGAGAACGGAGAGGGAUGCAGGCCAGCCAGGGAUCCAGCGUCUUCCCCAUCGUCACUCUCCAUGGCCUCCGUCUACACACAGUGUUCGUCUGCACAGCUUGUCAGCGCGUUAUCAUGACUUCUAUUUGGCACCGGCCCGUCUGUCCACUGUCCUGGCUUGUUCCAAGCGCUGCCUUCUCCAACUGGGGUCCUGGCUGCAGAGCUGUCUGCUCCCCACGUUGGGCAACUCCAGCCAAGAUUCCUACACCCAAAUGUGACCGUGUUGCUCACGAAGAAGGCUCAGCUUUGCGUGUGCCCAGCCGUGUGCACAGCUCGUCCCAACUCCUGCGGGUGGCACCUGCCUCUCCCACCUCCAGUCUUUCCCCUGUGAUGAGCAGAUGACCACCGCCCUCCAGGGUCAGCGUUUGGCUGUUUGUGUGCCUGCCCACCCGCCUCCCUGUGCCUGGGCCUGCCCUGUGCCUGCACACAGGAGUGGCUCAUGGCGUUUGCCCUACACGGAUGGGCUGUCCUGGGAGCUACUGGACAGUCACCUUGGUGGGAAUGCCAGAGGCAUGGGCAUUAGGUCCCCCCGGCCAGCCUCCGUUGCCACAUGGGCUAUUUUUGUCCAUCGCGUGGGACAACCUAGUAUUGGGGGAAAACUCAGUCCACUCUAAAGAAGCAUCGGCGUUUUGGAUGGACGAAUGCUGCUUCAUGCGACUCCAUGUCAAUGGACUAUUUUAUUCAACUCGGGUAUUUAUGAGUGUCUCCUCUGUGCCAGCCACGUGUGAAAGAAGAACUCCAAGUUACUGGACACCAGGACAAACCAGGUAGAUCACUGCAUCCGGUUCCUCCUCUUUCUGCCGACUCUCCCGGGCAACCGUUCUGAUUCCUGGCAUGGAGUUGGGGGCGAGCUCAUCAGUACCCAGAGCGCCUGGUGUGCAGCCAAAGGCCCCCAUUUUAUUAGUCGGUGUGUUCAGUAUCACGCUCAAGACAAGGGCCAACCUAUUACUUCACACACCUCAAAUACAAAAAGUGCCUGGGAACGUCGAUGAGGUAUUAAAGGAAACCACUGGUCUUGUCAGUCAUGUACACACAGAAAAAAAAACCAGUCAUUUUUAUUUUUAUUUUUUGAGACAGAGUUUCGCUCUUGUUGCCCAGGCUGGAGUGCAAUGGUGCAAUUUCAGCUCACUGCAAUCUCUGCCACCCGGAUUCAAGCAAUUCUCCUGUCUCAGCCUCCCGAGUAGCUGGAAUUGCAGACACCCAUCACCACGCCCAGCUAAUUUUAUGUAUUUUUAGUAGAGAUGGGGUUUCACCAUGUUGGUCAGGCUGGUCUUGAACUCCUGACCUCAGGUGAUCCACCCACGUCAGGCUCCCAAAGUGCUGAGAUUACAGGCAUGAACCACUGUGCCCAGCCGAAAACAACCAAGAAUUUUUUAACAAUAAAAUGACCAGCAAGUAAAC